rnacentral:rRNA from 1 species
AGGAUUCCCUAGUAACUGCGAGUGAAGCGGGAAAAGCUCAAAUUUAAAAUCUGGCAGUCUCUGGCUGUCCGAGUUGUAAUCUAGAGAAGUAAUGCCCGUGCUGGACCGUGUAUAAGUCUCCUGGGAUGGGGCGUCAUAGAGGGUGAGAAUCCCGUCUUUGACACGGACUACCAGUGCAUUGUGGUAUGCUCUCAAAGAGUCGAGUUGUUUGGGAAUGCAGCUCAAAAUGGGUGGUAAAUUCCAUCUAAAGCUAAAUAUUGGCGAGAGACCGAUAGCGAACAAGUACCGUGAGGGAAAGAUGAAAAGAACUUUGGAAAGAGAGUUAAACAGUACGUGAAAUUGCUGAAAGGGAAACGCUUGAAGUCAGUCGCGUUGGCCGGGGAUCAGCCUUGCUUUUGCAUGGUGUAUUUUCUGGUUGACGGGUCAGCAUCAAUUUUGACCACUGGAAAAGGCUCAAGGGAAUGUGGCAGCUUCGGCUGUGUUAUAGCCCCUGUUCACAUACAGUGGUUGGGAUUGAGGAACUCAGCACGCCGCAAGGCCGGGUUUCGACCACGUUCGUGCUUAGGAUGCUGGCWUAAUGGCUUUAAGCGACCCGUCUUGAAACACGGACCAAGGAGUCUAACAUGCCUGCGAGUAUUUGGGUGGAAAACCCAAGUGCGCAAUGAAAGUGAAAGUUGAGAUCCCUGUCGUGGGGAGCAUCGACGCCCGGACCAGAACUUUUGGGACGGAUCCGCGGUGGAGCAUGUAUGUUGGGACCCGAAAGAUGGUGAACUAUGCCUGAAUAGGGUGAAGCCAGAGGAAACUCUGGUGGAGGCUCGUAGCGAUUCUGACGUGCAAAUCGAUCGUCAAAUUUGGGUAUAGGGGCGAAA